GAUGAACGCUAGCGGCAGGCUUAAUACAUGCAAGUCGAACGGGAUUGAGAAGCUUGCUUUUCAUGAGAGUGGCGCACGGGUGCGUAACACGUAUGCAACCUGCCUUGUCCAGGGGGAUAGCCCGUUGAAAGACGGAUUAAGACCGCAUAACAUCAUUGAAUGGCAUCGUUCAAUGAUCAAAUAUUUAUAGGGACAAGAUGGGCAUGCGUCUGAUUAGCUAGUUGGCGGGGUAAUGGCCCACCAAGGCGACGAUCAGUAGGGGAUCUGAGAGGAUGCACCCCCACACUGGUACUGAGACACGGACCAGACUCCUACGGGAGGCAGCAGUAAGGAAUAAUAGUCAAUGGGCGCAAGCCUGGACAAGCCAUGCCGCGUGCAGGAAGACGGCCCUACGGGUUGUAAACUGCUUUUAUACGGGAAUAACCCCGGUUUCGUGAAACCGGCUGAAUGUACCGUAAGAAUAAGGAUCGGCUAACUCCGUGCCAGCAGCCGCAGUAACAC
rnacentral:rRNA from 1 species